ACCUUUUAACAACGGAUCUCUUGGCUCUCGCAUCGAUGAAGAACGCAGCGAAAUGCGAUAAGUAAUGUGAAUUGCAGAAUUCAUUGAAUCAUCGAAUCUUUGAACGCACCUUGCACCCAUUGGAAUUCCAAAGGGUAUGCUCGUUUGAGUUUCAUUGUACUCUCACACUCCAAUUUUGGAGAAGUGGACUUGGGUGUUGCUGCUUUGCAGUGGCUCAUAUUAAAUAUGCUAGUGCAACUCAUAGUUGGAUAUAGUACAGCGUGAUAAGUAUCUUCGCUGGCACCUCAUGAAGAGGGUAUCUGAUUGGGAGCUCUGUGCUUCUAACAGUCCUGUCUGGGACAAUCUCUGACAACUUGGCCUCAAAUCGAGUAGGACUACCCGCUGAACUUAAGCAUAUCAAUAAGCGGAGGCU
rnacentral:misc_RNA from 1 species